GAACCUGCGGAAGGAUCAUUAUCGUACAACCGAGGUGCGAGGGCUGUCGCUGACCUUCAGAGGGCGUGCGCGCCCGAGCGCUCUCACACAAUCCAUCUCACCCCUUGUGCAUCACCGCGUGGGUCCCCCUUUGCGGGAGGGCUCGCGUUUUUACAUAAAACUCGAUACAGUCUGGAAUGUUUAUUUUUGCGUUCACACGCAAUCAAUACAACUUUCAACAACGGAUCUCUUGGCUCUCGCAUCGAUGAAGAACGCAGCGAAAUGCGAUACGUAAUGUGAAUUGCAGAAUUCAGUGAAUCAUCGAAUCUUUGAACGCACCUUGCACCCCUUGGCAUUCCGAGGGGCACACCCGUUUGAGUGUCGUGAAAUUCUCAAAACCCUUUUCUUUGAUCGGAAUAGGACUUUUGGACUUGGAGGUUCAAUGCUCGCUUUCACCUUUGAAAGCGAGCUCCUCUCAAAUGAAUUAGUGGGGUCCGCUUUGCUGAUCCUUGACGUGAUAAGAUGUUUCUACGUUUUGGAUUUGGCACUGUUUUCUCCGCUCCUAACCGUCUUAUGGACAACGAUGGUGCUCCGGUCGCCGCCAUCUAUGGCGGGAGGCUGGACCCACAAAAAAAUCUUGACCUCAAAUCGGGUGAGACUACCCGCUGAACUUAAGCAUA
rnacentral:rRNA from 1 species